UUCCGGGAAUGCGCUGUUGUU
rnacentral:miRNA from 1 species